CAAGGAGGAACUUUUCCCAGCAAUGCCGCUGAACGAUAAAUUUUUCGGUACGUAAAGUUUUUUUUUAGGAAGAAAAGAUGGUGGAAAACCAUUAUGGCGGUGCCUUAUGAAUAAGCCCCGGCUAACUAUGUACCAGCAGCCGCGGUAAACAUAGGGGGGCAAGCGGUUAUCCGGGAAUUAUUGGGGCGUAAAGGGGUGCGUAGGCGGUUAAAUAAGUUUUAUGGUCUAAGUGCAACGCUCAACGUUGUGAUGCUAUAAAAACUGUUUAGCUAGAGUUGGAUAGAGGCAAGUGGAAUUCCGUGUGUAGUGGUAAAAUGCGUAAAUAUACGGAGGAACACCAGAAGCGAAGGCGGCUUGCUGGGUCUUAACUGACGCUGAGGCACGAAAGCGUGGGGAGCAAACAGGAUUAGAUACCCUGGUAGUCCACGCCCUAAACGAUGAGUACUAAACGUUGGAUAAAACCAGUGUUGAAGUUAACACAUUAAGUACUCCGCCUGAGUAGUACGUACGCAAGUAUGAAACUUAAAGGAAUUGACGGGACUCCGCACAAGCGGUGGAUCAUGUUGUUUAAUUCGAAGGUACCCGAAAAACCUCACCAGGUCUUGACAUGCUUUUGCAAAGCUGUAGAAAUACAGUGGAGGUUAUCAGAAGCACAGGUGGUGCAUGGUUGUCGUCAGCUCGUGUCGUGAGAUGUUGGGUUAAGUCCCGCAACGAGCGCAACCCUUGUUGUUAAUUGCCAUCAUUAAGUUGGGGACUUUAGCAAGACUGCCAAUGAUAAAUUGGAGGAAGGUGGGGACGACGUCAAAUCAUCAUGCCCCUUAUGACCUGGGCUACAAACGUGACACAAGGCU
rnacentral:rRNA from 1 species